CUCUCUCCUCUCCUCUCUUCCCCCCUCUCUCAUUUCCUCUUCCCCUCUCUCUCUUUUCUCUCUCAGCUCUGCGGAGGCCAUUCUGGCUAUGAGUUUCUAACCUGAGGAUCCUUGGGGAGACCCAUAAAACCACAGCAGGUGGUACAAUGAAGUCAUUGCUUUGGUAAUACAGGACUAACCAGCCAUUGUGAGUACAGCAUACAUCAACCAGUGAGUUCCCAGCUAGAGAAAAAGACAACAGCAAAGAGAAGACACCCUUACAGCGUGCAUCUGCCUUCCCCUGGGGCGUGUUCAUGGAAGUUACAUGGAAAAAGGCAGCGAAAGCUGCCCGUGUUGCACCAUGGCAGCGUCUCCAAUGCAUGGUAGCAUUUAUCAUUCUGAGUCUUCAUUGUCACCUCACCUGUGAGCUGGGAGCCUUUCUGUCAUCGUCUCAGGAGAGACCCUUCUGGCGACACUUGGCAAGCGGGUGAGGGAGCCUCAGAUUCCAGAACCCGAAGACAUUACUGCUGAACUGCACAAGAGGAAGCGUUCAGGCUAACAAUGGUUGCCCUCAAAGGCGCCCUGGGGGCUUCUAGGAAGCCUGACAUGUGCAUUACAUGGAUCCUGUUACCAGAAUAGAAAUCCCGGAUGUGUGGAGACAAGCAGGCCUGACCUCUGCAAGUGUCAGGGCCAGGGUUCCAUGUGUCCUCCUGAGGCCUUGUUUUUGUUUUUUUGGAAUGCUGAUACAGUGGUUGGCGUUCUAGUAGCCAGAGGACUUCCAAAAAGAACUUGAAGCUGGAAGGCUUGUGCUAAGGCUGUCAGAGCAGAAAUAAGUGGGAUAGAGUUCAUGGCCAGAGGUGGAGCCAUCUUGUCCAUCAGCCUCCACAUCUACUGGCAGCUCUGGAGAAGUCCAUUUCUAUGUCCGUAUCUGUGUUUUUAAUUACAUAGCUCCCAGGCCAUCCCUCCCUCUAUAAGGAGUCGAAGAUUUAAUGUGAUUAUUUUUAAUUUUACUCUGACAUUGAAUUUUUGAGGGAGAAGCAUGCAUUGACGUGUUGGUGGCAUAGAAAGAGGGGAGCUCACCAGCUGUCAAAGACUGACCUAUGAGCUCAUACAGUGCUGAGAUUAUAGCCAUGCCUGCCUUUUCCCUCGAUCCUGGUGAUCUGAACUCAAGUCUUCAUGCUUGUACAGCAAGCGCCUUAUGAACUGAACCAUCUCCCCAACCCCAUGAAGCUAAGUUUUGAAAGUCAACAAUCUCAGACUUUUGUAGAAAGUGACAAGUAAGUGGUGAGACUCUGCAUUUAAACAGUCAUCAUUUACUAUAGUUCCAGGAACCAACCAAGGACUUCUGCAGAAGAGGCAAGUGCUCUACCAUGGAUGGAUGCCCACAGCUCCUCUGUGGCUCCUUUAGCCCACAAGAAGAAGAGUCCCUCUUCAAAACAGAGGUCAGGGUGUCAGCAUGGGACUUCAGCUGCAGGCAAUAUUCUUAUUGUCACUGAAAGGAAGCUUUGCUUUGGGGAGAGUCACACCUUGAAACUGUUCUCAGCUGUCAAUCAGACAUUUCUGUUGACCCCUUUUCUGUCUCCUGUUCCCCUUCUUCAGGGGCAAUUGACUUAAGUUCCCUGUAGAAAUGGUCCUUCCCUUUUGUGGUUCAUGGAGUUGUUUUGACGAUCUGGUAAGACGGGUAAUGUAAACCUCUUUAAACAGCGUCAAGCUCACGAUUCCAUUAGAAAUGCUAAUUUUCAGAGCUCUUAUUUUUUCUUAACAACAUAGUUCAAGUGAUGCUUAAAAUAAUAAGUUUACCAUUGUUAAAUCAUCCUUUAAUUGUUAUAGAAUUUAGAGUAUUGUCAUUUUUGAUCAAUAUAUAAAGCUUUAGUUAAUAUCCUUGUACGUACGUGAGUGCUGCUCUGAUAACUUCCUUGGAUAAAUUACCAGAGUGAGUGAUUUAUUAUUUUUUGUUGUAUAUUCACAGGAUGUAAAUGAUUUAAGCCUCUUUCAGCAUAUCUCAAACUUGCUUUCAGAUAAAGAAUAAACCAUUUUAUACUUUCAAUUGUCAUAGAAGAUAUCAGUAGUGUGAACUAUGUCUUAAUCAUCUUAUUUUUUUCCUCUAUACCAAGCUAUUCUGUAUUGAAGGGAUUUUCUUAUUUGGGGGCAGAGGGUUUUCUCUCCAAGAAGCAGUCAGCACUCCCACAGCCACCCAGUUCCAUGUCACCUGGAAGCCAAGAUGUCACCAUCCUGUCCUGUGGGAUGCCCAGGUGUGUCUAGAAUCUGAGUGGAAAGAAGGCUUCAGGGAUGGCUCCCUGGCAGCUGUGGGGAUCAGAAAUGGAGAUCCAGUCCCGAAGCUGUGUCAGCAUGGGCCUACUAACUCCUACAGCAUAGGGAGGUCCAGGAACCAUGUGUACCCACUCAGCCCUGGCCAAUUCUGCCUGU